GACGAACGCUGGCGGCGUGCUUAACACAUGCAAGUCGAACGGAAAGGCCCUGCUUUUGUGGGGUGCUCGAGUGGCGAACGGGUGUGUAACACGUGAGUAACCUGCCCCUGACUUUGGUAUAACUUGAGGAAACUGGGGCUAAUACCGGAUAGGCGCUCCUGCUGCAUGGUGGGGGUUGGAAAGUUUGGUCGGUUGGGGUUGGACUCGCGGCUUAUCUGUUGGUGGGGGGGGGAGUGGCUUACCAAGGCUCUGAUGGGUGGCCGGCCUGAGAGGGUGACCGGCCACAUUGGGACUGAGAUACGGCCCAGACUCCUACGGGAGGCAGCAGUGGGGAAUAUUGCACAAUGGGCGGAAGCCUGAUGCAGCAACGCCGCGUGCGGGAUGACGGCCUUCGGGUUGUAAACCGCUUUCGCCUGUGACGAAGCGUGAGUGACGGUAAUGGGUAAAGAAGCACCGGCUAACUACGUG
rnacentral:rRNA from 1 species